CCUACGGGAGGCAGCAGUAGGGAAUAUUGCUCAAUGGGGGAAACCCUGAAGCAGCAACGCCGCGUGGAGGAUGAAGGUUUUAGGAUUGUAAACUCCUUUUGUUAGAGAAGAGUAUGACGGUAUCUAACGAAUAAGCACCGGCUAACUCCGUGCCAGCAGCCGCGGUAAUACGGAGGGUGCAAGCGUUACUCGGAAUCACUGGGCGUAAAGGGCGCGUAGGCGGGAUAGCAAGUCAGAUGUGAAAACCUAUGGCUUAACCGUAGAACUGCAUUUGAAACUGUUAUUCUAGAGUAUGGGAGAGGUAGGUGGAAUUCUUGGUGUAGAGGUGAAAUCCGUAGAGAUCAAGAGGAAUACUCAUUGCGAAGGCGACCUGCUAGAACAUAACUGACGCUGAUGCGCGAAAGCGUGGGGAGCAAACAGGAUUAGAUACCCGGGUAGUC
rnacentral:rRNA from 1 species